GUCGAGCGGAAACGAUUCUAGUUUACUAGAAGGCGUCGAGCGGCGGACGGGUGAGUAAUGCUUGGGAACAUGCCUUUAGGUGGGGGACAACCAUUGGAAACGAUGGCUAAUACCGCAUAAUGUCUACGGACCAAAGGGGGCUUCGGCUCUCGCCUUUAGAUUGGCCCAAGUGGGAUUAGCUAGUUGGUGAGGUAAUGGCUCACCAAGGCGACGAUCCCUAGCUGGUUUGAGAGGAUGAUCAGCCACACUGGAACUGAGACACGGUCCAGACUCCUACGGGAGGCAGCAGUGGGGAAUAUUGCACAAUGGGCGCAAGCCUGAUGCAGCCAUGCCGCGUGUGUGAAGAAGGCCUUCGGGUUGUAAAGCACUUUCAGUUGUGAGGAAAGGUUAGUAGUUAAUACCUGCUAGCUGUGACGUUAGCAACAGAAGAAGCACCGGCUAACUCCGUGCCAGCAGCCGCGGUAAUACGGAGGGUGCGAGCGUUAAUCGGAAUUACUGGGCGUAAAGCGUACGCAGGCGGUUUGUUAAGCGAGAUGUGAAAGCCCCGGGCUCAACCUGGGAACUGCAUUUCGAACUGGCAAACUAGAGUGUGAUAGAGGGUGGUAGAAUUUCAGGUGUAGCGGUGAAAUGCGUAGAGAUCUGAAGGAAUACC
rnacentral:rRNA from 1 species